rnacentral:rRNA from 1 species
CCAGCCUACGGGGCGCAGCAGUAGGGAAUCUUCCACAAUGGACGAAAGUCUGAUGGAGCAACGCCGCGUGAGUGAAGAAGGGUUUCGGCUCGUUAAGCUCUGUUGGUAGUGAAGAAAGAUAGAGGUAGUAACUGGCCUUUAUUUGACGGUAAUUACUUAGAAAGUCACGGCUAACUACGUGCCAGCAGCCGCGGUAAUACGUAGGUGGCCAGCGUUGUCCGGAUUUAUUGGGCGUCAAGCGAG